GACGAACGCUGGCGGCGUGCCUAAUACAUGCAAGUUGAGCGAUGAAGAUUGGUGCUUGCACCAAUUUGAAGAGCAGCGAACGGGUGAGUAACGCGUGGGGAAUCUGCCUUUGAGCGGGGGACAACAUUUGGAAACGAAUGCUAAUACCGCAUAACAACUUUAAACAUAAGUUUUAAGUUUGAAAGAUGCAAUUGCAUCACUCAAAGAUGAUCCCGCGUUGUAUUAGCUAGUUGGUGAGGUAAAGGCUCACCAAGGCGAUGAUACAUAGCCGACCUGAGAGGGUGAUCGGCCACAUUGGGACUGAGACACGGCCCAAACUCCUACGGGAGGCAGCAGUAGGGAAGCUUCGGCAAUGGACGAAAGUCUGAACGAGCAACGCCGCGUGAGUGAAGAAGGUUUUCGGAUCGUAAAACUCUGUUGGUAGAGAAGAACGUUGGUGAGAGUGGAAAGCUCAUCAAGUGACGGUAACUACCCAGAAAGGGACGGCUAACUACGUG
rnacentral:rRNA from 1 species